rnacentral:rRNA from 1 species
UACGUAGGGCGCAAGCGUUGUCCGGAAUUAUUGGGCGUAAAGAGCUCGUAGGCGGCUUGUCACGUCGGGUGUGAAAGCUCGGGGCUUAACCCCGGGUCUGCAUUCGAUACGGGCUGGCUGGAGUGUGGUAGGGGAGAUCGGAAUUCCUGGUGUAGCGGUGAAAUGCGCAGAUAUCAGGAGGAACACCGGUGGCGAAGGCGGGUCUCUGGGCCGAUACUGACGCUGAGGAGCGAAAGCGUGGGGAGCGAACAGG